rnacentral:rRNA from 1 species
AAAUAGCUUUAGGGCUAGCCUCAAGUGAUGAUUAUUGGAGGUAGAGCACUGUUUGGACGAGGGGCCCCUCUCGGGUUACCGAAUUCAGACAAACUCCGAAUGCCAAUUAAUUUAACUUGGGAGUCAGAACAUGGGUGAUAAGGUCCGUGUUCGAAAGGGAAACAGCCCAGACCACCAGCUAAGGUCCCAAAAUAUAUGUUAAGUGGAAAAGGAUGUGGCGUUGCCCAGACAACUAGGAUGUUGGCUUAGAAGCAGCCAUCAUUUAAAGAGUGCGUAAUAGCUCACUAGUCGAGUGACACUGCGCCGAAAAUGUACCGGGGCUAAACAUAUUACCGAAGCUGUGGAUUGUCCUUUGGACAAUGGUAGGAGAGCGUUCUAAGGGCGUUGAAGCAUGAUCGUAAGGACAUGUGGAGCGCUUAGAAGUGAGAAUGCCGGUGUGAGUAGCGAAAGACGGGUGAGAAUCCCGUCCACCGAUUGACUAAGGUUUCCAGAGGAAGGCUCGUCCGCUCUGGGUUAGUCGGGUCCUAAGCUGAGGCCGACAGGCGUAGGCGAUGGAUAACAGGUUGAUAUUCCUGUACCACCUAUAAUCGUUUUAAUCGAUGGGGGGACGCAGUAGGAUA